rnacentral:SRP_RNA from 14 species
CGGAAGAAAGCAGGCCUAAAUGAUGUGAGAAGGGUGGCGUUG